CAGGAAAACAAGUGCAUGGACCUGCAGGACCAUACACCUUCCACACAAUUUGGGCAGCCAAUGUCAGAAAAAUCACACUGGUAGAAAUUUCCGUUUUCAAACAAGGAAAUGUUUAUCCAGCUCUUGAGAGAAAUUUGUGCCUGGAGGAAGAUGAGCACACAGGACCAGCAUGGGGCACAGCUCCUUCCUGCGUACCUCACCAGCAGACUUUGUGGCCAUCCUAUAUAAGGAAAGAGGUGGGCAGAACCAAUGAAAGACUCCAGACCUGGCAAGGAACUAAGAAGACUGACUUUGUGGAAUCCUUGAAAUUGGGAGAGGCAGAAGGACACUGAAGGUGUGCAGAGGAAGACUUGCAGACAGCCACAUACCGACA
ensembl:lincRNA